CGUUAGCGGCGGACGGGUGAGUAACACGUGGGUAACCUACCUAUAAGACUGGGAUAACUUCGGGAAACCGGAGCUAAUACCGGAUAAUAUUUCGAACCGCAUGGUUCGAUAGUGAAAGAUGGUUUUGCUAUCACUUAUAGAUGGACCUGCGCCGUAUUAGCUAGUUGGUAAGGUAACGGCUUACCAAGGCGACGAUACGUAGCCGACCUGAGAGGGUGAUCGGCCACACUGGAACUGAGACACGGUCCAGACUCCUAGGGAGGCAGCAGCG
rnacentral:rRNA from 1 species